rnacentral:rRNA from 1 species
CCUANGGGGGGCAGCAGUUGGGAAUAUUGCACAAUGGACGAAAGUCUGAUGCAGCGACGCCGCGUGAAGGAAGAAGGCCUUCGGGUUGUAAACUUCUUUUAUAGGGGACGAUUGUGACGGUACCCUAAGAAUAAGGACCUGCUAACUACGUGCCAGCAGCAGCGGUAAUACGUAGGGUCUGAGCGUUGUCCGGAUUUAUUGGGCGUAAAGAGCAUGUAGGUGGAAAGAUAUGUCGGAUUUUAAAUCUCCAGGCUUAACUUGGAUUUUGGAUCCGAAACUAUUUUUCUCGAGGAUAGCAGGGGUAAGCGGAAUUAGUGGAGUAGCAGUGAAAUGCGUUGAUCUCACUAAGAACACCAAUGGCGAAGGCAGCUUACUAGGUUAUCUCUGACACUGAGAUGCGAAAGCGUGGGGAGCGAACGGGAUUAGAUACCCGANUANUC